rnacentral:misc_RNA from 1 species
UCUCCGUUGGUGAACCAGCGGAGGGAUCAUUACCGAGAUAUCAACUCCCAAACCCCUGUGAACAUACCCAACGUUGCUUCGGCGGGACCGCCCCGGCGCCCUCGGCGUCCCGGAACCAGGCGCCCGCCGGAGGACCCAAACUCUUGUUUAAACCAUAGUGGCAUAUUCUGAGUCUCACAAGAAAAAUGAAUCAAAACUUUCAACAACGGAUCUCUUGGCUCUG